rnacentral:rRNA from 1 species
UACUCCCGCCGGCGACCGGCGCACGGGUGAGUAACACGUAUGAAACCUGCCCGUAGCAGGGGGAUAAGCGGAAGAAAUUCCGUCUAAUACCGCGUAACAACCCGAGGAGGCAUCUCCUCGGGUUUAAAGGAAGCGAUUCCGGCUACGGAUGGUCGUGCGUCGCAUUAGCUAGUUGGCGGGGUAACGGCCCACCAAGGCGACGAUGCGUAGGGGUUCUGAGAGGAAGGUCCCCCACACUGGUACUGAGACACGGACCAGACUCCUACGGAAGGCAGCAG